CAAUAGGAAAGCAAGAUAGGUGGAACUAGGAGUCAAGGAGGAUUCUGGGAAAUGUAGUAAAAAGAUCCAGGCAGGAAGUGACAUAGCAGGCAGACUCAGAAUAUAAGCAGGAAAUAGCUCUCUUGCUCUUCCUCUUCCUCUCUUCUCUACAGAGCCACCAUGUGAUCCUGGGAAGAGGACACCAGCAGAAGGCAUUCUCAAUAAGGCGCCCACGUGGCGGGGCAGAACUCGGGCAGCCAGUGGAAAGACUUAUCUUUACAUAAGCCAGCUACUAUCUCCAAGGCAUCCGGAUUUUUGGCAGGAAACAGGUUCUCACGGGAUUUGUGUGCAGGAAGCUGCUAGGAAUAUCACCAUCAGCUCCAUUCAGAGUGAGAAAAGCAGAAGCAGGCAAAGAGACAACCUGAGGUUGGCUGCAACUGCAUUGAAGGCAUCAGCUACCCUGUGCUGUGCUGCCCACCCAAAGAUGAGGACAAUAUGUACCCAUCCCCAUUCUGCCUAAUGGUUGGCUUAUAAGGAUUUACAAGACUCUCAGUAAAUAAAAGGUAAGUGGAAGUAGGAGAGAAAUCUUUG
rnacentral:lncRNA from 1 species